CUCGUGAUCCGCCUGCCUCAGCCUCCCAAAGUGCUGGGAUUACAGGCGUGAGCCACCGCGCCCAGCCCUUUUCAUGUUCUUUGACUGUUUUUCUAUUGACUGUUCAUUCUUCCUAGUAUUAAUAACUUUUUGUAUAUUUGAGAUUAACCAUUUUUGCCUAUUAUGUAUUUUAUAUAUAUGUCAUAUGUCAUUUUAAAUAUAAUGAAAUGUAUUAGUCUUUGUGGUUUCUAGUUUUCAUGAUAUGUUUUGAAAGGCUUAAUUGUUUUGUUACAAAGUCUGAACUUGAGUUAUGAAUGCAAAUUUCCCCUCUCAAAUGCCUAAUCUGUUUCCCAAACACCAUUUACUUAUCCCUUAAGGGAUUUACUUUUCCCUAUUUGAUCUAUUUCCCACCAAUUUUAAAAUGUCAUCUUUAUCAUAUACUAACUUCCUGUAUGUUCUUGCGUGUAUAUGAAACUGGCACAUACAGGGAGACUCUUUAUUUAACUUUUACUUAAAGUAGGAGGUAGGAAAGAGAUCUGUUGAAACCAUGACAGAGAGUGUUGCAGCGCCUGUCAAAGUUAUCCUUGCUUAUUUGUAGAAAAAUUGAACUUUCCAUUUUCCUAACUUUCAACUUGCAAUUGAAUGACACUGAUUCUACUAGGAAAAAAGUAAAAGCUAUACUAUUUGAUGCCAGAUGUAUGACUGUGGGCUGAUGAGGAAGAACUGGAAACAAAUGACAGAUAUGCAGGAGGAGAUAUCUUUUUAUGGCUUAGCAGAAUGCUGCUCAAAGCGCCAGUCUCUGAAGCUCUUUGUUCCUGACUUGCAACCAGGUACUUUAGAUUUUCUACAUCUAAUGGUGGCAAAUAAAUCCACUAGCUGCCAAAUACAUGGGAAAUGAUCUGUGAAAACCACAAGUGGCCCAACAAACUGUACGUCUUCAAUUUGACAGCACAAAGGAAUUAUUGAACAGAAGCUGAAAAAGCAUACUGCUUGCAUUUCAGGUGUUCUGGGACUCAGUGUUAGAAGCUGUCUGUCUGUAAGAAUCUUGCUGUCUCUGCCUCAUGAAAACAAUUGCAGUGAUGAGAACCAGUUACUAAUGGCAUACAUCACACAUUUCAGCCCAUCUUCUGGGUGAGCAGGUGGUUGAGCUGUCCCUCGCCUUUGAAUCAGGAAGUUAGCAUCAAAAAUGGUAUGUUGCUUUUCCUUCCUUUUAUUUUAUUCAGUCUUGGCAUGGUGUGUCACCUAAUUAACAAAACAAAUGUAAUUUUAUGUGACUUUACCUCUUUUCAUGGCUCAUUAUUUUCCUCCAAUGUAAGAAAUUGAUGUUCACAUCAUUUCUUAUCCUCCCUCCAUCUAAAAGGAAAUGUCCAAUUUGGAAGACAUUUUCUUUAGUCUUCUAUGAAAGCCCUCUCAUGACCUUUCUGCUUGCAAACAAAAGAAUCAUUUCCUGAUCAGCACCAGCAGUCAGCUCCUUUACAAUGGAACCCAUUUAAGGUCAGUGCUGGCCUAUAAUAGAACUACUUAAAUAAGUGUAACUUCAAAGAAAAAUGGAAAUAAUGUGUAAUAUUGAGAUGUGAUAACAUCUUAGAGAAAAUAGUUCGUUUUUCUGCUAUUUUUAAAGUAGUAGCCAAUGGUGUGAAGCGGUUUCUAAAGAAAGCUCACACCACAUCCCACCACCAGAAAGCUCCUCCACAACGUGGGCUGGAUCCAAUUCAGUUCCCAAUAUGGCGUUUCAGGAGAGAUUGUCAUGGAUUAGAGGAAGGUAUUCAAGAUGAUAAAGGGCCUAGAAAAAAUAUCUUGUUGGGAGUGUUUAAAAAAAAAAACUUUAGACAAAUUAAAUUGAACAGAUUUUAACUGAGUGAAGAACGAUUUGUAAAUUGAGUAGCUACCCCCCACCUCCCAACCCGAAUAGGUUCGGAGUUACUCAGGCAUUGCCAGGAGUUCAAAAGGAUAUACGCACAGAUAAAGGAAAAUGAUGUACAGAAAAUCGAAGUGAGGUACAGAAAACGGAAGUGAGGUACAGAAGACGGAAGUGAGGUACAGAAAACGGAAGUGAGGUACGGAAACUGCUGGGUUGCUUACAGCUCGCGUUUGCCUUCUUAGCACGGUUUGAGAGGUUGGCUGCCUGUGAGUGGUCAAAGUCUGGCUGCUGGGAUUAGCUGAGACUUAGCUACUUGUUCCAAGAGCAGGUUCCGGUCUGUUUCCACAUCCAGUCAGGUUUCAGUUCACUAUGUACCCAGAAACCUUGAGGCUGAACUUAAAAUAUGCGAGGAAGCAGCUUUAGGUGAAACAACGUAGCAGGAGUAUAGCAAAAGUUCAGUCUGAUAUAAAGGAGAUAGGACAGACGGAUGCCUGUGGCCAUUGUCCAUCUUUGAGAGGGUAUUUAAAGGCUGGCUUGUUCUGUUUUGCUUCUGAGACAUACUAAGUACCGAUCGGUAGAAAGUGAAAGCAAAUGAUGGCAAGGACACCUCAUAAAUUAGUGAGUCACUCCCCAUCAUUUGAGAGUAUUAAGCAAGAGGGUCAACGAUUAUUUGUAGGACUAUUUUAGUCCUACAAAUUUUAAAGGCAUUUCCUGUGCUGGGUGGAUUUUUAUGAUUCUUAUAUGAGCAUGCUCCGUUUUUCAUGAUGCUAAAGAGGAAAUACUUGCUUUGUUAAUUUAAAAUGGAUUAAUUUAAACAAUUCUUGGCUGGGCGCAGUGGCUUACGCCUGUAA
rnacentral:lncRNA from 1 species